AACGAACGUUGGCGGCGUGGAUUAGGCAUGCAAGUCGAACGCGAAAGGGUAGCAAUACCCGAGUAAAGUGGCGAACGGGUGAGUAACGCGUAGGAACCUGCCUUCGAGUGGGGGAUAACACUCCUAACGGGGUGCUAAUACCGCAUGAAACUACGGAGUCGCCUGGCUCUGUAGUCAAAGGUGGCCUCUAUUUAUAAGCUACCGCUCAAAGAUGGUCCUGCGUCCCAUUAGCUAGUUGGCGGGGUAACGGCCCACCAAGGCGACGAUGGGUAGCCGAUCUGAGAGGAUGACCGGCCACACUGGGACUGAGAUACGGCCCAGACUCCUACGGGAGGCAGCAGUCGAGAGGCUUCGGCAAUGGGGAAACCCUGACCGAGCGACGCCGCGUGGAGAUGAAGGCCUUUGGGUUGUAAACUCCUGUCAUGUGGGAAGAACGCUAUCGUUCGAAUAGGGCGAUAGUUUGACGGUACCACAAGAGGAAGC
rnacentral:rRNA from 1 species